CCUACGGGGCGCACCAGUGGGGAAUUUUCCGCAAUGGGCGAAAGCCUGAUCCAGCAAUGCCGCGUGUGUGAAGAAGGCCUUCGGGUUGUAAAGCACUUUUAUCAGGAACGAAAUACCACGGGUUAAUACCCUAUGGGGCUGACGGUACCUGAGGAAUAAGCACCGGCUAACUUCGUGCCAGCAGCCGCGGAUAUACGAAGGGUGCAAGCGUUAAUCGGAAUUACUGGGCGUAAAGCGUGCGUAGGCGGUUUGUUAAGUCUGCUGUGAAAGCCCUGGGCUCAACCUGGGAAUGGCAGUGGAAACUGGCGAGCUAGAGUGUGAUAGAGGAUGGUGGAAUUCCCGGUGUAGCGGUGAAAUGCGUAGAGAUCGGGAGGAACAUCAGUGGCGAAGGCGGCCAUCUGGAACGACACUGACGCUGAGGCACGAAAGCGUGGGGAGCAAACAGGAUUAGAUACCCGGGUAGUC
rnacentral:rRNA from 1 species